rnacentral:rRNA from 1 species
CCUCGGGAGGCAGCAGUGGGGAAUAUUGCACAAUUGGCGAAAGCCUGAUGCAGCCACGCUGCGUGAGCGAUGAAGGCCUUCGGGUCGUAUAGCCCUGUCCUCACAGAAGAUAAUGUCGGUACUUGAGGAGGAAGCCACGGCUAACUACGUGCCAGCAGCCGCGGUAAUACGUAGGGGGCUAGCGUUAUCCGGAAUUACUGGGCGUAAAGGGUGCGUAGGUGGUUUAUUAAGUUAGAGGUGAAAGGCUGCGGCUCAACCGUAGUAAGCCUUUGAAACUGGGAAACUUGAGUGCAGGAGAGGAGAGUGGAAUUCCUAGUGUAGCGGUGAAAUGCGUAGAUAUUAGGAGGAACACCAGUUGCGAAGGCGGCACUCUGGACUGUAACUGACACUGAAGCACGAAAGCGUGGGGAGCAAACAGGAUUAGAUACCCCAGUAGUC